rnacentral:tRNA from 1 species
AAGGAUUUAAGUUAAAUAAACUGUUAGCCUUCAAAGCUAGAAAUAGGGAGAUAUUCCUAAGCCUUAA